GUUUGUCGCGUUGUUCGUGAAAUCUCACGGCCUAACUGUGAGCGUGCGGGCGAUACGGGCAGACUUGAGUACUGCAGGGGAGACUGGAAUUCCUGGUGUAGCGGUGGAAUGCGCAGAUAUCAGGAGGAACACCGGUGGCGAAGGCGGGUCUCUGGGCAGUAACUGACGCUGAGGAGCGAAAGCGUGGGGAGCGAACAGGAUUAGAUACCCUGGUAGUCCACGCCGUAAACGGUGGGUACUAGGUGUGGGUUUCCUUCCUUGGGAUCCGUGCCGUAGCUAACGCAUUAAGUACCCCGCCUGGGGAGUACGGCCGCAAGGCUAAAACUCAAAGAAAUUGACGGGGGCCCGCACAAGCGGCGGAGCAUGUGGAUUAAUUCGAUGCAACGCGAAGAACCUUACCUGGGUUUGACAUGCACAGGACGCCGGCAGAGAUGUCGGUUCCCUUGUGGCCUGUGUGCAGGUGGUGCAUGGCUGUCGUCAGCUCGUGUCGUGAGAUGUUGGGUUAAGUCCCGCAACGAGCGCAACCCUUGUCUCAUGUUGCCAGCGGGUAAUGCCGGGGACUCGUGAGAGACUGCCGGGGUCAACUCGGAGGAAGGUGGGGAUGACGUCAAGUCAUCAUGCCCCUUAUGUCCAGGGCUUCACACAUGCUACAAUGGCCGGUACAAAGGGCUGCGAUGCCGCGAGGUUAAGCGAAUCCUUUUAAAGCCGGUCUCAGUUCGGAUCGGGGUCUGCAACUCGACCCCGUGAAGUCGGA
rnacentral:rRNA from 1 species